AAAGGGAGACCUAAUUCAGGUAGGAGACGAAAAAAAAGUAGUCCCUACCAAGAAUCAAUCCCAAAAGGUCGGAACGAGGUAUGAGGCUUUCAAACUAGGUUCUGGGUUCACACAAGACCUGAAUCAGGAACAAGGGCUAUUAGCUCAGGUGGUUAGAGCGCACCCCUGAUAAGGGUGAGGUCCCUGGUUCGAGUCCAGGAUGGCCCACCUGCACAGGUGGCAAAAACAAAAGAAGCGAGGAAUCAGCACCUUAUCUUAUAUACAUAUAUAAGAGAGAAUGCUGGCUCUGAGUACAGAGUCCAGAGGAACCUUGAAAACUGCAUAGAGCUAGGUGAAAAAGCCAAAAAAGAAGACCGCAAG
rnacentral:tRNA from 1 species